rnacentral:rRNA from 1 species
GUGCCAGCAGCCGCGGUAAUACGGAGGGUGCGAGCGUUAAUCGGAACUACUGGGCGUAAAGGGCGCGUAGGCGGUCGCGCAAGUCGGGUGUGAAAGCCCCGGGCUCAACCUGGGAAUUGCAUUCGAUACUGCGUAACUAGAGUCUGGUAGAGGGAAGCGGAAUUCCGCAUGUAGCGGUGAAAUGCGUAGAUAUGCGGAGGAACACCAGUGGCGAAGGCGGCUUCCUGGACCAAGACUGACGCUGAGGCGCGAAAGCGUGGGGAGCAAACAGGAUUAGAUACCCUGGUAGUCCACGCCCUAAACGAUGAGGACUAGACGUUGGGGGGAUAAAACCCUUUAGUGUCGCAGCUAACGCGUGAAGUCCUCCGCCUGGGGAGUACGGCCGCAAGGUUGAAACUUAAAGGAAUUGGCGG